UUAGGUUAGGAUAGGGUAAUUGUAGAAUGUUUUCUUCUGGAACUAUCCUACGCGGAAAAAAAUCUUGUAGUAAAUAUGACUAGCAACAAAUGUUCGAAUUGACUAUGGCCAUAUCUAUUGAACAUAACAACAACAUUAGUCAAAACAACCGAGUUAUUGUCAAAAAUACUAUGGUUUCUUCAAAAAACCUAUAGUAUUCUUGACUAUUUUAAGUAGUUAAAAAAAUAAUACUUUUGAUACCAUACCAUGUUUGCGAUAAAUAUGACCACGCUUUUUACAAACCUCAAGAACUUUUCUUCGUCGUUGCUCUGUUUUACCAUGUUUGUGGUUGAAAUAAGAGCACAGACAAACAGACCUAUUAGACAUCGUACACAAAUUACGUAACGCUAUAGGGGGAGGGGGGGAGUCUAGCUUAGCGUUACGAGACAUACAAAAUAUUUUUGGUUUUCAUACAAAAAGCGUUACAUGGGGGGAGGGGGGAGUCUGAAAUCGCUGAUUUUAGCGUUACGUAAUUUGUGUACCAUGCCUUACUUAGAAGCAAUUUGUUUCAAAAACAUCGUUUGACAUCUCACUAGCACCCUCUAUACUGCUCAAUCCGAAGCAUUUAUUUGCAGGUGUCGUUUCCCUCGGUUCGAAAUUGUUAUUAGCAGGUGACGACUCCCCCGUGGCGUUAUCCAUUCAUAAAACACGAAUGAAGGUUCAUGAUUGAGUCAUUUUAUGUAAACAUUGAUCGGCAUCGCGUUCAUUUCUCUCCGAAAUUGAGAGGUGAUGUAGGCACAUCAGCGCCACCAUGACACAUGCGAGCACAGUCCGAACCACAGUUUAUUUUCAAAAUGACCGUUAAAUCGUGCGAUGAUUGCGAUUUGAGUAGUAUGUCUGUUUGUCUGUUGUAAGAGUGUUGUACCAACAAUUUUCAGCUGACUACAUUUUUCGUUGAAAUUUACCAUAAACAUGGUAUUUUUUUUCUCAGCGCAACCCGAUGCUUGACAGCGCGCCAUUUGUAAAUAAACUCUCUUCAAAAUCAGACACCUGUGCCUCAUUUCAAGUUUUCAUUUAGUAAAAUCGUUCAUUUUAAAAUACUCACCAAAUUUUGAUUUUUUCAUCCAGCAAAACUCAUUGCUGGAACGUGAUCAGCAAACUGUAGUUUGCCGAAAAUUCAGUAAUAAUAGCUGAAGAGUCAGCAAAAUUAGAAAUUGCUGAACAUCAGCAAAAAAGUUGUCAACUUGGUUGUCAAACACUUAGCAUUUCCCACAGGCAUUUUUUUGGCACAUGCGCGCUCCUGCCCGAGGCACUGCACAAGCCGGAGGACGAAAGAAAUUACCUGAAAAAGUUGCAAUUUUCGUCGUGAUUUACACGAAAAUAGAUUGCACUACUUCAAUAAAGAGCCUUCAUCGAAUUUAUUUACCUCUGAUUAUCAAAAAUCAAGUUCAAACGAACAUUAUUAUACAUUUUUAUUUCGGCUGAAAAGAAAAAAAAACAAAAAAUUUCGGCCGGAUUCGAGCUCGGACAAAAUUGCUGAACGACCAGCAUAACAAACUGUCAAAAUGCAUUACUGAUAAAUCAGCAAGACAUAUUUUACUGGAUGGAUUGCUGGUUUUACAGCAUGUCAAAAACCAGCAAAAUUUUGCUGGUUUCCAGCGAAAUAAAAAUAGUGUGUAAGUUUUUGAAAUAAGUGGAGAAAUUUGACGUUAUUAUGGAUGACACGCUGACUGACCCGGAAAUUAUGAAAGAGGAGGACUAUGAUUCGGAACUUGAAAAGCUGAUUUCUGAAUGUUCCGUUAUUUUUUGCGAUUCUCAUUCGUAAGCACCUCAAAGGGUCCCAGCAGCUGCACCAACAAAAAUAAAAUAUCACAAAAUUCCCUGGAAGCAACGCCUGAUGACAACUUCCGUGACGACCGAGCUGCAGCACGACAUUCUGAGCCGCAACGAAAAAGGAAAAAUCGCCGUCAAAUAUUUCGGGUAGUACAACAAUUUCCUACACAGAUUGACAAAUAAAGGAAAACGUCUAAUCACUCUA